rnacentral:tRNA from 1 species
UCGGGGAUCAUCUAAUGGUAGGAUACGUGACUCUGGAUCACGGCAUGAAGGUUCGACUCCUUCUCCCCGAG